UGCCUCCUUGAACCUACCACAGGCUAUGCCCUUCCGUUGACUGUAGAAAACGGAAGCAAAGUACGUGCCCUGUAAACUCCUCAACCCAAGCCCUGUGCCUGGUUUGAAUUAUGAAUGGGGCAACAUGG